GGGGACGUGGUGUACGGCGCACUGCUGCUUUCCUUUCAUGUUACGCGAAGCAGGAUGAAAGCAGCGAGCCGGGGUUCGACUCCCCGCGUCCCCA